CCUACGGGAGGCAGCAGUGGGGAAUUUUGGACAAUGGGCGCAAGCCUGAUCCAGCCAUGCCGCGUGUGGGAAGAAGACCUUCGGGUUGUAAACCACUUUUGUCAGGGAAGAAACGGCUCUUACUAAUAUUAGGGGCUAAUGACGGUACCUGAAGAAUAAGCACCGGCUAACUACGUGCCAGCAGCCGCGGUAAUACGUAGGGUGCAAGCGUUAAUCGGAAUUACUGGGCGUAAAGCGUGCGCAGGCGGCUUUGCAAGACAGAUGUGAAAUCCCCGGGCUCAACCUGGGAACUGCAUUUGUGACUGCAUGGCUAGAGUACGGUAGAGGGGGAUGGAAUUCCGCGUGUAGCAGUGAAAUGCGUAGAUAUGCGGAGGAACACCGAUGGCGAAGGCAAUCCCCUGGACCUGUACUGACGCUCAUGCACGAAAGCGUGGGGAGCAAACAGGAUUAGAUACCCUGGUAGUCCACGCCCUAAACGAUGUCAACUGGUUGUUGGACGGCUUGCUGUUCAGUAACGAAGCUAACGCGUGAAGUUGACCGCCUGGGGNGACGCGCGAGUGAACGACGAAGAGUAGACGCGNGAGAGAGCGACGGACGACGACGAGGGAGGAGG
rnacentral:rRNA from 1 species